rnacentral:tRNA from 1 species
GGAGAUGUACCCAAGUGGCUGAAGGGUCCGCACUCGAAAUGCGGUAGGCCGGCUUUACCGGCGCGAGAGUUCAAAUCUCUCCAUCUCCG